rnacentral:lncRNA from 1 species
AAAUUCUCCGACCCCGGACAGCUGAACUAUCCGUCGUUCUCGGUCCUUUUUGUGAAGUCUAGAGUUGUACGAUACACUCGUGAGUUGACAAAUGUGGGAGCUGCAGGAUCCACGUACGAGGUUGCCGUGAAUGCACCUUCUGCCAUUGGGGUGACUGUGAAUCCCACAAAACUUGUUUUCAAGAAUGUAGGAGAUAAGCUCCGGUACACAGUUACAUUUGUGUGGAAAAGGGGUAUGAACCUGAUGGGGAGAAGUGCAUUUGGGUCCAUAAGCUGGAAUAACGCUGAACACCAAGUUAGCAGUCCAGUUACUUUUGCCUGGACACAUUCGUAAGAUGGUGUGGUUUUAGUAGUCUAUUUGGGGGUUUUCUUGUUCCUCGUCUUUGGUUGAAUAGAGUUCCGGAAGAGCUCUUGUCCUCUGUUCUUGUACAAACUUUGCAAAUCUACAAGGAAGGUGAUGAUGAAUGUAGAGGGAAAAGUUCCUCUUUUAAGUUAAAUUUGGUGUGGUGUGGUGUGGUUAGUAGUAAACUAAUGUAAUAGAAUUAGGCAUGCAUUAUUGCAAUAGUAUUGGAAUGUAAAUCCAACACGACACACAGUGGGAUUUAUUUUCUAAUGCAAAACCAAGAGGAUAUGAUAUUUCCCACUUGCAAAGAGAAAACUAACUAAACCAUUCCAUGGGCUUUUGGUUUAAGUUUUUUUCAUGUGAAGAAGUAAAGAAAGAAGCAUUACCCCAAAAGACCAUGGUCAAAACUCAUUAAGUUUUCUCUUUUUUGGUUCCUUGUUCACAUAAUUUCUCAUGGAAAAAUCAACCUAAGACAAUGGUCAAAACUCAUAAAGUUUUCUCUGUUUUUUGGUUCCUUGUUCACAUAAUUUUUCAUGCAAAAAUUAACUUUUGGUGUGAGACACGACUUGCAACAAGUUGAUAUCUAAACUGAAAAAAGUAACAAUUUGGUACUUGUACUAGAAAAGAUUUACAAGUUGUUACUUAUUAGAGUUCUAUCCGGUUUCUGUUUAAAAUUUUAACACGUCAGAAGAGAACGAUAACAUGGCGACAAGUCAGUUGAAUGAAUAGGUGAGCUACCAUUGUUUUCCAUUUAUCUAUGUAAACGAACGUUAAGGCAUUUUGGGGAAAAAGUUAGGGCUUCCAAGUCGUCUUCAUCUUUCUCUCUCGAUUCUUCAACCUAGAGUAAAAUUAUAUGUUUUGUCUCUCGAUUACUGGUUCACACACACAUAUAUAUAGAACGGAUCUAAAACACUACUCUUAAAUAUCACUCUUUCUUAAAAAAUAAGUGGGGCCGCGUGUGACAUUUUUAUAAAUAAAAAGAAAUCAAGUGGGGCGUGCUAUUUAAGAGGAGUGUUUUAAAUUCGUCCUCUUUCUCUCUUUAUAUAUAUAUAUAUAAAUUUUUAUAUAUUCUCAUAUUGCAGAAUGACUUAACUCUACGUUUUUACGAUCGUAGAGUGAAUCCUCAGAUCGUAAAAUGACUUAACUUUACGAUAUUAGACUUCAGUGUAUAAACGUAGACUGAAUCCUCAGAAACGUAGAGUGAAUUCUCAUAUCGUAUAGUGAAACAUAGAGUGAAUCCUCAUAUCGUAGAGUGAAACGUAGAGUGAAUCUUCAGAUCGUAUGGUGAAAUGUAGAGUAAAUCUCCAUAUCGUAGAAUGACUUAACUCUACGAUACUAGAUUUUAGUGUAAAAACGCAAACUGAAUCUUCAGAAAAAUAGAGUGAAUUCUCAUAUCGUAGAAACUCUCGCAAAGUCUCAUCCCACUUGGAUAGUGAAGUAAGCAAUCAAAGGGCUGACAUUAGUGAGCACUCGUAGCGUCCUUGCUUUCUCUUAAUCAAUAAUUAAGGAUCUCUCCUCCUUCUAGUAGGUCAAAUUGUAGAAUGAUUUAAUUCUACGUUUCUACGAUCGUAGAGUGAAUUCUCAUAUCGUAUAAAAUGACUUAACUCUUUGUUUAUACGAUCAUAGAGUAAAUCCUCAUAUCUUAUAAUGACUUAACUCUACGAUACUAGACUUAAGUGUAAAAAUGUAAAUUGAACCCUCAAAAAAGUGGAGUGAAUUCUCAGAUCGUAAAGUGAAACGUAAAAUGAAUCUUCAGAUCGUAGAAUGACUUAACUUUACAUUUCUACACUGAAGUCUAGUAUCUUAGAAUUAAGUCACUCUACGUUGCCCUUUUUAACUGUGUGGAAAAUUUUACACAUAUUCAUUGCUUCUAAUGCCCUAAAAUCUUUAAACUACAAAAAAAGAAAGAGGUUUGGAUGCUUACUUCUUAUUAAAUUUGUCACGCAAUCAACACUUAAUCUCGCUGAAACCACUAAUUUUGAAAGAUAGCAUUUGCUAUUUUGGAUGAAUCAUGUCGUGUUUUCACUCCCUCUCUCUCUGUGUGUGUGUGUGUUUGUCUCCAACGUUCUGAAUUUGCUAACCCAAAUUUGUUCCUUUUGCCUCUAACAAUCUCCUCAUGUGACCCACGUGUGACUAAGAUACAUUUUCCUCUCCAAUUUUGAAUUUUAACGAAUCUCAGAUACAAAUGUCAUUAUUCACAUAGGAUAUGUUAAUUUAUUAAAAAUUUUCCGUCAUAUCCGUUAGUCAAAUUUUAACGAUUUUACAUAAAUAUUUAAUUAUAAUAAUCAACUAAUAAUUUUUUUCAGUACAAACACCAAUUUCUUACAAUUUUUAGUUUGGUGCCAACUUAUAAAUCGAGUCUCAGUACAUGAACCAAUAGUUGAUUUUUCUCUUAUUUCUCUCUUGUAAUUGCAUUUUGUAUUUGAUUAUUUGAGUAUUGAAUAUUGAAUAGUAAUAAAUGCAUCCCCUUAAACAAAUCAAGACACAUGAAGGAUCCUAAUAGGGUUGAAUUUUAACUUGCCCAUAUUAAAAUUACAAGACAACAUUUGUAUGAAUUUUUUUGCCAAAGGAAAAAAAAGUUCCCUUACAAAUUUAAAUUUGUUUAAAAAACGGCUAUUGAAAUUGACAAACAAAAAUGAUAGAUCAAGAUACAUUUAUUACAUCUAUCUUCUAAUUUCUCUUAAUAUAGUUAACGACACAAAUAUCAUAUUUAGCAAUAAAUAAAAUUGUCGUCAACAAUUUGCAACAAAAUAAUUCUUUUCGCAAAUAAUUGUGUCGAUGAAAGUUAUAUUUAUGUCGUUACAUGUGUAUUAAGCAUAUUAAGCGUAAAUUAAAGCUUAUAUUAAAAAAUAAUGUAAUAGAAGGGAUAGUAAUUCAAAAAUAAUAGUGAGUAAAUAUAUAUUUAAUGGGAAGUGGUUAUCAUGAAGUUUAUUUUUGAGUAAGUUGGUCAAUUGACCAAUAAAGUGCUGACAUGUAAACAAAGCUCUAUGUGUGUCAACAUUCUANNNNNNNNNNNNNNNNNNNNNNNNNNNNNNNNNNNNNNNNNNNNNNNNNNNNNNNNNNNNNNNNNNNNNNNNNNNNNNNNNNNNNNNNNNNNNNNNNNNNGAAUAAGAGAAAGGACAAACUCUAAAUAUCUUACUCCUUCCUACACUAGUGAAAAACUGAGAAAAAGAAAAUCACAAGUGGUGUCUUUCUCUAAAACAAGAGGCCUAUUUAUAGGGAAAAUAACUUUAAACCCUAAUUUAGAUUCAUUGAACUUGGACACUUUGAUUCCCUUUCCAUGUAGGAUUCAAUUUCCUAGUAGCAAUCAACUUCUCAAAAAUAUCUUCUAGAUAGACUUUUCUUUUUCUUAUUGGAUUUGAAUUGCACACUAAGAUUGUUCCACCUCUUUCCUUCUCCUUGUAGGAUUCUUCUUGGACAUUCUUUAUAUGAAUAUCACCAAGAUUUUGACUUUAUUGCAAUAAAUAUUAAAUCCUACAAAAUAAAAUAAAACAUAUUAAUUUAAUAAACUAAUAUAAUUAAAAGGACAAAAUUAGGGAUAAUUAAAUGUAUAAAUUACGUUUCUAUCACUUCAGCUCCGACAUUCUCGCUGGCAUGGAUCAUGCAAUCACUGACGGCGUUGAUGUCCUGACGAUGUCGUUGGGCGGUGGUUCUGGUCCUUAUCAUCGUGACACGAUAGCAAUUGGAGCAUUCACCGCCAUGGAAAUGGGGAUUUUGGUGUCUUGUUCUGCCGGUAACAGCGGUCCUAUUCCGUCGUCGUUGGCUAAUGUGGCGCCAUGGAUAAUGACUGUCGGUGCCGGAACUCUAGACCGGGAUUUUCCGGCUUAUGCCAAUUUGGGAGAUGGGCUCCGGUUCACUGGCGUGUCGUUGUAUAGUGGUAGCGGUAUGGGGGAUAAACCGGUGGGGAUUGUCUAUAAUAAAGGUGGGAAUAGUUCGAAUAAUUUAUGUUUGCCCGGUUCGCUUGACCCGGAGUUGGUACGUGGGAAGGUGGUGCUGUGUGACAGGGGGGUUAACGCACGUGUGGAGAAAGGAGAUGCGGUACGGGAUGCCGGAGGAGUGGGGAUGAUUUUGGCAAACACAGAGGCGAGUGGGGAGGAGCUGGUGGCGGACAGCCACUUAAUCCCGGCAGUGGCGGUGGGGAGGAAAAUGGGGGACGUGAUAAGGGAGUACGUGAAUAAGGAAGCGAAUCCCACGGCGGUGUUGAGUUUUGGUGGGACGGUGUUAGACGUGAAGCCGUCGCCGGUUGUGGCGGCGUUUAGUUCGAGGGGCCCCAAUAUAGUGACUCCGCAGAUUUUAAAGCCAAAUGUGAUUGGGCCUGGAGUUAACAUUUUAGCUGGAUGGUCAGAGGCUGUUGGCCCAACUGGGUUGGACUCGGACACUAGAAAGACUCGGUACAACAUUUUGUCAGGUAACCCACAUUUCACCAUUGUAAUUAAAUUUUACUUUUAUAGUGUUAUAAGUGUGUUUCCAAUUAUAAUUUCAACUUUAAUAGUCCACAUUUGAUUCUUAGGUUUAUUCGAGACGAGCAGUAAAAUAUUGUGUUAAAAGUACUUUAUGAAUACGACACAAGUCUUCAGUAAAACCCAGCGGGGCUUUUCAUUUUUAAUAAAUUAUAAAGUGAUAAAUCUUUUUCUUUUUUUUUAAAAAAUAAUUAAAGAAGAUAAGUUUUGGGAAAUUAAAGUAAUAAUGUGGUAACAUAAGUCUUUAUUAAAGUCUUGGUAUAAGGUUUUUCAUUUUAAAUAAUAAUAAAAAAGUGAUAAUUUUUAUUGGUAUGGAUUAUAAAGUAAUAAUCUUUUUUAAAAAAUAUUGAAGAAAUAAGGUUUUGGGACAAAAAGUGAAAAAGAGGGACAACUAGAGAUGGGGCAGUGAAAGGAUUUUUCUUUUUCUUCUAUAUAAUCCAUAAUCCAUAAUGUGAUACUUUGUAUGACAGUUCAGUCAGUCUAGAUUUAAUUAUUUAUUUAUUUUUUUCUUUUCCCCUUUUACUUUUUUGGUUUGGACCUUUUUGGUGGAAUAUGAGUUGAAAAGUAAGUUUAAAGAUUGAUGGGUGACUAUAACCUAAAUAGAUUGAUGAGUGACUAUAACCUAAUUUUCAACAUAUAUAUUAUAUAUUAUAGGACUGAUUAGCAUAAAGUUAACUUUGAUCAAUUGAUCAAUACAGUGUCGACACAUGUUAGGAGGUCUCUGCGUAUCAAUAUUGUAUUGGUCAAUUAAUUAACUUACUAUGAAAUUAACUUCAUGAUAAUCUGAUCCAUAUAUUAUGACGAUGAUAAGUGUGUCACUGAUUGGGGUAUAACAUAAAGAAUGCGUCUCCUUUAUUAUCUUUUUACUUUUUUGGUAGGUGAGUGUUGCUACUAAUUGAAAGCAGUAUUUAGUAAUUAGUAGAAGUUAUGGCUAUGCUAGUAGUACUUAUUAGUUAGCAUCUUUCUAUCAUGUGCCAGGAAAAAAGUUUACUUGGAGAUGAUUUAGUUUGGCUCUUUGAUUGUGAUAUCCAUCCAACCCCUUGAAUGUUUUUACACAUUAAAAAAAAAGCAUUUUUGCAUGUGGGAAACUGAGUUAAAAUUGAUCUUUAUAACCAUAUAAUAAGAUUUGUACUUGAGUGUAGAUUCCCUGCAUAUUUUCUUGAAAUAUUUAUAUACCAAGUAGUGGAGUUGCAUAUACUUUAUCCCAUGAUUUGUUGGAUGGGAGAUAAUGGAUUCAUACCAUUUUUUAGUUUCUCACUGAGAAAAACUUUCAAAAGAAAAAUGAUAAAAUGAUUUGAUAAAGUGGUGACUGAAAUUGAAGUUGGUCACUUUCUUAUGUCAAAUUUACAAACACCAACUUGUUACUGUAUUUUUGUUUUGCCCUUUGCAUUGAUUGAUCUUUUAAACAUUAUGCCAUGUUUGGAUAUUUCAACUUAUUAUCUUAAUUAUUUUUGUUAAAAAUCCAUAGGUACAUCAAUGUCCUGCCCACAUAUCAGUGGGCUAGCAGCUUUGCUCAAGGCAGCACAUCCAGAUUGGAGCCCAAGUGCAAUCAAAUCCGCCCUCAUGACCACUGCCUACACUCAAGACAACACCAAUUCCCCACUCUGUGAUGCAGCCACAGGUGUGGUCUCCAAUCCAUGGGCAUAGCUCGGGCCAUGUUGACCCUCACAAGGCCAUCUCCCCAGGCCUUGUAUAUGAUUUAUCAGCACAAGACUACAUUGCAUUCCUUUGUUCCUUGGACUACACCAUUGAAAACAUUCAAACCAUUGUAAAGCACCCGAACGUCACGUGUUCCAAGAAAUUCUCCGACCCCGGACAGCUGAACUAUCCGUCGUUCUCGGUCCUUUUUGUGAAGUCUAGAGUUGUACGAUACACUCGUGAGUUGACAAAUGUGGGAGCUGCAGGAUCCACGUACGAGGUUGCCGUGAAUGCACCUUCUGCCAUUGGGGUGACUGUGAAUCCCACAAAACUUGUUUUCAAGAAUGUAGGAGAUAAGCUCCGGUACACAGUUACAUUUGUGUGGAAAAGGGGUAUGAACCUGAUGGGGAGAAGUGCAUUUGGGUCCAUAAGCUGGAAUAACGCUGAACACCAAGUUAGCAGUCCAG